CUCUGGACACGUUUAUAAUGUUAGUCCUGAAACUAUUGCAGCCAACUUGAAACAGACACAUGAAGAGAGAAGAGAAUCAAAGAGAUCCUCUGAAGUUCGCCACAGGAUCAGAGUAAUGGAUCUAUGAUGCUGUUGGUGGUUGGUGCUGGAGUGUGAAGAUGUUUAACAUUGUUCCAGGGGAUAUAUAAAACCACAAGAUAAACUUGGCAUAGUUUCCAAAGGGAGGGCUCAGUUCGCCCCACUGGGCGAGAGACAGAUCCAUG